AUGAAUUGCUUAAGUUGGAACUGUCGAGGGACGGGGAACCUUCGUACAGUUUGUGAUCUCGUAGCACUAGUGGGUGCUCAUUCUCCGAAGUUUGUGUUCUUGUGUGAAACUAGACAGCCAAAAGAAAAAAUGCAUCGUCUUCGUUCUCGUUUGGGGCUCGCUGGUUUCGAAGGAGUCAGUAGUGAUGGUCGUAGUGGAGGCCUUGCGCUGUUUUGGCAUGACUCUGCAAGA
rnacentral:rRNA from 1 species